AUUGAACUAAUUACUUUGUUUUGAAAACUGGGUUUAAGAUUUUUCUUUUAGUUUUU
rnacentral:tRNA from 1 species